UACAUUAUGCUCUUGCUUCAUUUAUAACAGUGAAGACUGGUGAAGAAUGUUCUUCCUCAGAUAUUCCUAAAAGAGAAUUCACCCAAAGUUGCAUUUUGCUUGUUUCACUGGUAGGAAAGAUGAGAUAGAGAAAAGGGACUGAUAAAUUAUUUAUGAACAAGACUGCUUCACUGAUCAGAUUUGGUGAUGAAAACUUCUUUGAAAACCCAUGAGGAACAUUCUUAACGGAAAUUAUUUGCACUUCUCUUGGGCUGUCACUUUUUUCCCCCUGCUAUUACUUUGAUUUUGGCUUCGCAGUCACCACUGUGCAGAAACCUAACAGCAAACACAAUGAAAAGCCUUUCCACAUGAUUAUUUUCGAAAGUAAUAAGACAUGUGUGACCUGGAAAAUCAGCCCUUCCGACGUGUCAGCACGAACUCUUCCUUGAAUAGACCUUACCUGAGCAAAUGGAACCAUAAACACCAAUGGAGAAAGAUGCAGAGCCUCUUCUCAUACCCUCGCAGGCAUCUCACAUUGCCAGGAAUUGGUUCUUAGGCCACAGUUACUUCUGCAGUUAUCCUCAGUCAGGGCUGUGUGAAUGCUGAAAUGUACUAAUUUCAAAAGUCAUGCUGGCCUUUGGAUCAAAUGAAGGUAAACUAGAUAUGCCUCCAACCCACCUAUUCUCUAGCCCCAUGGGCCCUGAGGACCACUAGGUACUCUACAAUUUGCACUGUAGGAUAUGAGAUGCUGAAAAACUUGGAAAUGAAUGCAACUCAUUCUGCUCUAACCAUAUGGGUUCCUGCCAAGUUCAUCCAGGGAAGUGAAGCAUAAAAGAAAGGGGGAAAUGGCAAGGCAAGGCGAAACUUCCUU
rnacentral:lncRNA from 1 species